GCUCCAGUAGCGUAUAUUAAAGUUGUUGCAGUUAAAAAGCUCGUAGUCGAACUUCGGGCCUGGCGGGACGGUCCGCCUUACGGUGUGUACUGUCCGGCCGGGUCUUACCUCCUGGUGAGGCCGUAUGCCUUUACUGGGUGUGCGGUGGAACCAGGAAUUUUACCUUGAGAAAAUUAGAGUGUUCAAAGCAGGCAUAUGCC
rnacentral:rRNA from 1 species